CGGGGUUAAGCUGCUGCUGGUUAUGGUGCUUGUUUCGAAAUCUGAUGACGAAGAACAAAUGUUCGUCUUGCCAGAUGAUCCAAUGGAGUAGAAAGAGAAAGGGAAGUGGGGACAAAACAAGUUCUCAAUCCAAGCAAUAUGAUUGGAGGUUAGUGAAUUAAGCAUUUUAUCCCAAGAUUUUUGUUAACUUUUCUAAAUAAUAAUUUGAAUAAUAAAUUAAUAAGAACAAGAAUACUAUGUGUAUGGGCAA